rnacentral:rRNA from 1 species
AUUAUGGAGAGUUUGAUCCUGGCUCAGGACGAACGCUGGCGGCGUGCCUAAUACAUGCAAGUCGAGCGGAACAUAAGGAGCUUGCUCCUUAUGUUUAGCGGCGGACGGGUGAGUAACACGUGGGCAACCUGCCCUACAGAUGGGGAUAACUCCGGGAAACCGGGGCUAAUACCGAAUAAUCA